UACGUAGGGUGCGAGCGUUAAUCGGAAUUACUGGGCGUAAAGCGUGCGCAGGCGGCGGCCCAAGUCAGGUGUGAAAUCCCCGGGCUUAACCUGGGAAUUGCGCUUGAAACUAGGUCGCUAGAGUGUGGCAGAGGGGGGUGGAAUUCCACGUGUAGCAGUGAAAUGCGUAGAGAUGUGGAGGAACACCGAUGGCGAAGGCAGCCCCUGGGUCAACACUGACGCUCAGGCACGAAAGCGUGGGGAGCAAACAGGAUUAGAAACCCCGGUAGU
rnacentral:rRNA from 1 species